rnacentral:lncRNA from 1 species
UAUGAAAUACAUCCGGAACACAUCUUGGUGGGUUUGUCUACGAUAAUUUCGAUUCCCGAUAUCUCACCUCUCUACACUACGUCCAACACUCCCCUCAGCUGUGUGAAGAGAAAGACCGUUGUUCCCUUGUCGUCGGCCCCCACACUGAUUCAGAUUGGGGAGGGUGAGCUGCGCUGGAAUGUUUUCUCUAAGUCCGAAAGUACGGAGAUCGGAUGUUCCAAGUUUUCUGAGUUUUCUAAGUUUUCUAAGUCCAAAAGUCCGGAGAUCGCAAAGGGCCCAGGGCCGCCCCCCAUGGAGCCCCCGUCGGGACGAUGUCUCUAUCUCUCUGCUUCCUACAGCGCCUUUUAUCUAAAACUUUCACUGUCAGCCCCGCCCUCUCUCUUACCCAUGCAGCUGGCCAUCAGGUCACUCUGACCUGGUAUUUUUCCACCGCGCCAUGGCAAAGAUUCUCUCAGGCACGUCUGCUUCCUACAGCGCCUUUUAUCUAAAACUUUCACUAUCAGCCCCGCCCUCUCUCUUACCCAUGCAGCUGGCCAUCAGGUCACUCUGACCUGGUAUUUUUCCACCGCGCCAUGGCAAAGAUUCUCUCAGGCACGUAGGCCUACUCUCAGGCACGUUCUCUCCGGCACGUACGCCUUCAGAUUGUUGUUACUUGUUCCAGAAAUUAUACUAAUAAGUAAAAUACACCAUAUAAUGAUAAACAAUACCAUAAUACAACAUAUCAUAAGUGUAAGAUAAACAAUACAACAAUACAACAUAUCAUAAGUGUAAGAUAAACAAUACAACAUGUCAUAAGCGUAUGACAACAUCAUUUCACCCACAAGUGCUGUAAUCUUUCUAGGUGCUUUCUUCCAUAACCAAUCAUGUCUAAACAACAUGAUAAAUCUUAUAGUGAAUAAUAGAUAUUAAAGAAAAAGAUAGAUAUAUGAUGAUACUAAAACAAGAAACACUUUAAAAUGAAUGAUAGAUAUUAAAGAAAGAGAUAUGUUUAUGAUGAUAUUAAAACAAAGAAACACUUUAUAAUGAAUGAUAGAUAUUAAAGAAAGAGAUAUAUUUAUGAUGAUAUUAAAACAAAGAAGCAAAGAAAAUGAUUGUUAUAUGAUGAUACUAAAACAUGAUAUAUGAUUUUAUGAUAUUUAACUGAUACAUGCCUAAACCUGAUACAUGAGUAACACUGACAUGAGUAAAUCUAUUCCUCUUCAGUCCCCGCUGGUAAAACCCCCACCUUUCCCAAGGCCUUGGAAAUUUUCCAACAGCCCCCACCUCCCUCUCCCUUAUCUGCCCACAGACCUCUCCACCUCCUCCCCGUCUCCUGGACUCUAAGAAAUCGACCUUACUUGACAGUGUGUGUGUGUAAACCGGGACUGACUGUAUGAUUAAUCCUUCGCUAGCGGUGAAUAAAUGGCGGGUUUGCCAAAAUGAUGAGUUUUCUUAGCAUAAAUAACACGACAGCAACGACAGAGAGAAGCGGGGAAGGGAGGAGAAAAAAAACGUUUCAAAUAUCCGCGGUGUCUCGGCUUGGAGAGGCUGCGACCUUCACAGCAGCCUCUGCCAGACCUCACAAAAACCCUGAUGCUAAUUAUUAUAAAUAAGCUAAAGAGGAUGAUAUCAUUGUUGUUAGUUUGCAGUGUACUCUUAGUUUGCCACAAAUCUAAAAUCUUACUGAGACAGUCUAUGCAUCUGCAGAGCAAACAGGACAGGAGAGAUGUUCUUUCCCACAAAAUUUCACUCCGUUUAUCAUAGUAUCAUCAUUUAUCGACACUGUUAAAUAUGAUUUAAUAUGAAAUGUCACAUUUCAACUAAAAGAACCACCAGAAUGCACCUAGGAUAUAGGCCACUUGUUGAAAUGAUGCAUUUUCCAUCUUUUUGAGUUUUUAUAGAGUUAUUGAUUAGCCUUAAGUAUCUGAAAUUGAAAUUCAUUUGUGGGAAUUUGAAAAAAUAAAAAUGAUCUAUCCAAAAUCAUUUGCUGUAAUAAUUUGCUUCCAUAUGCUUCCUAAGGACCAUCACCUUAUUUGGAGGCCUUUAUUUUUAAUUCUCUCCUCUAUAUUUUGCUCAUUUGAUAUGAAGCCUCAUUGUUCUCAAUUCUGAUUCCGUUUACACUGUUUAAAUUUUGAUUCUGUAUUAUUCUUGAUACAUAUGACAGCUCUCUCUCAAUGACGUGAAUCUAGACCAGCAAUGCUCUACUGCUUUUUUGAGGAAUAGGACAGAAUCACAGCAGCAAAAAUGCAGGAUUUUCUUGAUUUAACAUAUGUGGAAAUGGUUCCGAUUUUGUAUGAAAGAUGUGUAAUUUUUUUUAGAUCAGAGCGACAUGUUAAAAUAUUUUCACAGCACAUAUAGACAAACUUGUAAAAUGUUUUAUUGAGAAAAA